AACUGGUGUGCAAGAAACUCUUGAGAGGCUUGCUUCAGGACAGCUCAGAGCUGAUUAUGCUGAGAGGUCUCCACCUAAGGAGAUGCGAGAAGGGGGGGAGAUAAAAAAACUCGGGGAUUGAUGAGACUUUGUUGCCUUCUCUGGAAUUCCAACUGGAGUUGGCUAAGACACAAGCAGAGGGUUCAGAGGUGAUUGGGGAGCCUACAGAUGAAGAUAAUGGACUUCAGAUGGUUCGGGGAAUGGUGGAGCAACGGGAUGAUCAAAUAGAUGAUUUUGAAAUGGAGAUGGAUGCGAUGAAUGCUACAUUUGAGGAAAGCGGUUUUGAUAUGGAGGAGGAAAGGGAGUUUAAAACAUUCUCGGAAGAGGAAGCUGAGGAAGCUGAGCAUGCUUCCAGGGUGCAGGAGGAGGAGACUCGUACACAAGGAGAGGAGGAGUUGGUGCCUGGAGAAACUGGUUUAGAGAAAGGGACGGGGGCUGAGGAUUUGGCGUCAAAGCAAGUAAGCCGCAAGAGGCUUUUCAAGGCUUCUACCAGCACUGCAGGAAGCAACAAGAUGCGUAUGGCCAAUGCGCUUGUCUCACCACGAAGAAAGGCUGCAGCUAAGGUUGGAUCUCGCCAUGGAGAUGGCAGCAAACCGCCGGAGAUCAAGGGUCCCUCAAACCCGAAACCGGCUAAUCUAAAAUUUUAAGGUUAUGAAUCAAAUCUUACAAGUAGUAAGAUCAAGUAAGAUGGAAUUGGUUUAUGGAGGGGGGUUUUCAGUUAUUAUAAUAAGUUCUAUGAGCAUUAAUAUUUUAUUUGGAUUUAAGGGGAUAAAGGGAGUAGUUAUUACCUUGUUUUCAUGGUUUGCUUUCAUGAUUUGGAAUAAGAAUAUUUUUUGGUUUACAUGGUACUCUGGUUCAUUAUGGUUUGGUGGUCUAAUGUCCGAUGGUGACUCUCUCAUUUGGAAGUUAAAGUAUGGUUAUGGUGCGAGGUUUUUAUACAUAAGGAUUGUGUCUUUCUUCAAUGCGAUCUCGGUACCGUGUGGACAAUGGCGAGUGAUAAUGGAGUGCAAAACUGAAUUAUUAGCUCAGCUUUGGCUUGUGUAUAGGGAAUUUUCUGUUACUUGGCAGGAACGGGAAAGCUUGGAGAGUACAUGGAUGCGGCCCUUAGAGUUCGAGACGGGAACGCGGCAAUUCGGAUUAUGGCUAUUAUAAUUGGCGGCAAGGAGACAUUCGUAUGGAACAUAUGGUGGCGCUCUGGCGUAAGAAUUUGAGGACAAAUUAUACUUUUGGUGACUGGAAUAGGGUCUCUUGGUGUUACGGAUCAUUGGAACAUAAUUCGAAACUGAUGGCAUUGAGUCGAAACUGGGAUCCCUAUGGAGACAAGGGGUACUUUAGUUAUUUUUCUGCUUCGACUGA